rnacentral:rRNA from 1 species
AGAGUUUGAUCAUGGCUCAGAACGUACGCUGGCGGCACGCCUAACACAUGCAAGUCGAACGAAGUAGCAAUACUUAGUGGCAGACGGGUGAGUAACAUGUAGGUAUCUUCCCUUUGGCCUGGAAUAACACGAGGAAACUUGUGCUAAUACCGGAUAAGUCUUUACAGAGAAAGCUUUAUGCACCAUUGGAUGAGCCUGCACUUGAUUAGUUUGUUGGUAGGGUAAUGGCCUACCAAGACUGUGAUCAAUAGCUGAUUUGAGAGGAUGAUCAGCCACAUUGGGACUGAGACACGGCCCAAACUCCUACGGGAGGCAGCAGUGGGGAAUCUUGCACAAUGGAGGAAACUCUGAUGCAGCGAUGCCGCGUGAGUGAAGAAGGCCUUUGGGUUGUAAAGCUCUUUCGUCGGGGAAGAAAAUGACUGUACCCGAAUAAGAAGGUCCGGCUAACUUCGUGCCAGCAGCCGCGGUAAUACGAAGGGACCUAGCGUAGUUCGGAAUUACUGGGCUUAAAGAGUUCGUAGGUGGUUGAAAAAGUUGGUGGUGAAAUCCCAGAGCUUAACUCUGGAACUGCCAUCAAAACUUUUCAGCUAGAGUUUGAUAGAGGAAAGCAGAAUUUCUAGUGUAGAGGUGAAAUUCGUAGAUAUUAGAAAGAAUACCAAUUGCGAAGGCAGCUUUCUGGAUCAAUACUGACACUGAGGAACGAAAGCAUGGGUAGCGAAGAGGAUUAGAUACCCUCGUAGUCCAUGCCGUAAACGAUGUGUGUUAGACGUUGGAAAUUUAUUUUCAGUGUCGCAGCGAAAGCGAUAAACACACCGCCUGGGGAGUACGACCGCAAGGUUAAAACUCAAAUGAAUUGACGGGGACCCGCACAAGUAGUGGAGCAUGUGGUUUAAUUCGAAGAUACGCGCAGAACCUUACCAACACUUGACAUGUUCGUCGCGACUUUAAGAGAUUAAAGUUUUCGGUUCGGCCGGACGAAACACAGGUGCUGCAUGGCUGUCGUCAGCUCGUGUCGUGAGAUGUUGGGUUAAGUCCCGCAACGAGCGCAACCCUCACUUUUAGUUGCCAUCAUUAAGUUGGGCACUCUGAAAGAACUGCCAGUGAUAAGCUGGAGGAAGGUGGGGAUGACGUCAAGUCCUCAUGGCCCUUACGUGUUGGGCUACACACGUGCUACAAUGGUAUUUACAACAGGAAGCAAGACGGCGACGUCAAGCAAAUCCUUAAAAAAUACCUCAGUUCGGAUUGCACUCUGCAACUCGAGUGCAUGAAGCUGGAAUUACUAGUAAUCGUGGAUCAGCGUGCCACGGUGAAUGCGUUCCCGGGUCUUGUACACACCGCCCGUCACACCAUGGGAGUUGGUUCUACCUUAAGGCAAGGUUUUAAACCCUUGACCACGGUAUAGUCAGCGACUGGGGUGAAGUCGUAACAAGGUAGCCGUA